GUGGGAGGUGUCGCGGUGGUCCAUGCCUGAGCACGGGCUUGCUUUGAUUGACAGCCUCAGUCGUUUUACGCUGUAUUGUCUUGUCAUCUGCAUCUUCUCCGUGAUGGAUGAGGGGAGGAGGAACGGAUCCAUGGGCUCCGCUCCCAUGGCCAUUGGCUUCUGUCACCAUGGCACACCUCAUGAGAAUGUUCUACACUGGAGCUGAAAUGAACCCUGACAAAUCCUUCACCCCUGCGAUGUUCAAGAGGAACUUCAUGAACCACUGGGU